GGUGAGAUGGCCGAGUGGCUGAAGGCGCACCCCUGCUAAGGGUGUAUAUGAUAAUAUCAUAUCGAGGGUUCGAAUCUCUCUCUCACCG
rnacentral:tRNA from 1 species